rnacentral:lncRNA from 1 species
CCUUCCCUUCCCUUCCCUUCCCUUCCCUUCCCUUCCCUUCCCUUCCCCUCCCCUAUUAGAUGUCCCCACCAUGUAAUUCCCAUUCCUCACUUUGCUCUCACACUCAGACCUUCUCCCCUCUUCUCUUCCAGCCACCGUGCAUCUCGUGCCCUGCCAGAUGGUCUCCAAGGAAGCCGCAGUCCCUGCCCCGACCCUCUGGGUGCUGCAGGGACAGAAGGAAUAUUUCUUCGGAGAUGUUGUCACGCUGGUGUGCACCACUCCCCGCAACAUCACUGGGAGGCUGAUGUACCAAAUUUUUGGCGACGGUGGCUGGGCAAAUUCAGGAUUUAGCUCGACGAAUAACUACACGUUUGAGUUCGUCCUCUCCCGAAUGCAAAACAGGGGGCCACAUCUCUGCAGAUAUUCCAUCGGGCAAGGUCCGAAGCAGCUCACAUCCCCAACCAGUGCAGAACUGGUGAUCAAGAUUGGAGACCACCCUCCCCAGCCCCUGCUGAUGGUGGAGUCCCCGCAGGGAGAGGUGAUGGCAGGAGAACUCCUAAGCAUCAUCUGUAAGGCCCCUGGAAAUGUCACCAUACGGAGGUUUCACUUCUACAGGGAUGGCCAAGAGGUCCUCCCUGUGGCAGAAGGCUCCGAGGACAAUGCAGCAGAUCAUGGGGGCAGUUUAAGGACUUCCAUGGUCCUGCAAUUCCCACGUGCUGGUCCCCAACACAAUGGAAACUUUACCUGCAAGUAUGAGGAAAAAAAGCCUGAGAGGUGGAUCCCCUCCUUCACAAGCCAAGCCGUGUCUAUCAGUGUAAAUCCCCCAAAGAAAGGCAAGAGCUGCUUCUUUCUUCUGCGGCUCCUGGUUGUGGGUGGCUGCUUCCUCACCAUCAACAGCCUCAUCCUCCUCUUCUUCUGGGCCCGGGGGAGAAGCAAAGAUGCUUCGUUUCUGUGUGGAGCCAGCCCUGCUGGGAUCUCCCAGCUGGAUGCCAGAUCCCCAUACACCCUUCAGGAGGAUAAUAAGUACGAGGAACACUAAGGAGAGGAAGGUGCUGUGAGCGAUUCCACCCCCUAAAGACUGCUCCCUGCUGAAGACAUCCCAAAAGACUGGUGUGCAGCCAAACGAGUGCUCAGCUGUGGGAAAAGAAAGCAAGAAUCGGUUCCUGGGAGGACGAAAGAAGUAGAAAAGGGACAUUUCACUUGGUAAAGGGGAGGGAGGAGACACCGACGUUGUUGGGAAGGGUGAUUGUGAAAGAGAAAAUGAAGGAAGACCAGGAAUAAAAAUGGAAAUUGUGAGAAAAAAAAAAAAAAA